UACACACCGCCCGUCACACCACGAAAGCCGAUCGUACCAGAAGUCGCUGACGUUAACCCCGCAAGGGGAGGCAGGCGCCCAAGGUAUAGUUGGUGAUUGGGGUG
rnacentral:rRNA from 1 species